GUGAGACGACAGGGGAGCGCCGGACGGCGCUGAGAGUGCGGAGAUCCGCAGACCCUCGAACCUGCACCGGUUAGCACCGGCGAAGGAAGUCGGGACACCUCUCCC
rnacentral:ncRNA from 2 species